rnacentral:rRNA from 1 species
UACGUAGGGUGCGAGCGUUGCCCGGAUUUAUUGGGCGUAAAGGGCGCGUAGGCGCCACGCACGUCCGUUGUGAAAUCGCCCGGCUCAACUGGGCGGGGUCGGCGGAUACGGCGUGGCUGGAGCAAGCUAGGGGGCAAUGGAAUUCCCGGUGUAGUGGUGGAAUGCGUAGAUAUCCGGAGGAAUACCAAAGGCGAAGGCAGUGUCCUGGAGGGUGACUGACGCUGAGGCGCGAAAGCUAGGGGAGCGAACAGG